UACGUAGGUGGCAAGCGUUAUCCGGAUUUACUGGGUGUAAAGGGCGUGUAGGCGGGAGAGCAAGUCAGACGUGAAAUUCCAGGGCUCAACCCUGGAACUGCGUUUGAAACUGUUCUUCUUGAGUGAUGGAGAGGCAGGCGGAAUUCCGUGUGUAGCGGUGAAAUGCGUAGAUAUAUGGAGGAACACCGGUGGCGAAAGCGGCUCUCUGGCCUGUAACUGACACUGAGGCUCGAAAGCGUGGGGAGCAAACAGG
rnacentral:rRNA from 1 species